UAAAUUUGAGGUGUAAUAUUUCCAACCAAGAAAAAUACAUCUUCAAUCUUAUUUUCUUCUAGGUCGUGCCUAUGAGUGGGCCAUUGCCAAUAAGCACCAGGAAAAAAUAUAUGCAAGUGUGUGUACAGAGGCAAUGAAAAUUAGUAGUUUCCACAUAAGCUGAUCAAAUGAAAUAAUUCGUCAACGUUCUGAGAUACAAGUUUGUCCACCAAAGAAACAAAACAUUGCUAGUCAGCAAACCAAGCUGCAGCACCUGUGGUUGUUCAAGCAAAAUCAGGUACCCGUGAAACCAGCCACAGAGACAAAGCAGAUGCCCAAACCGCUGAAGGUAGAAACACGCUUACUCAUAAUCUAGAGGCAUUUUGUGGUCAUUUAGUGUUCAUCCUUCCAUGGCAAGGUCCAAAGCAACGAAGGUACUUGCAACUUGAUAUUUGGAAGCUCGCCAUGUAUCUGGCUCCUUUUUUUGCGAUCGCAAAAAAAUCAAUCUCUAGGAGAGUAUUAACACAUAUCACUGAUAAUGAACAUAACUCUGCAAAGAAAAAGGAAAAAAUGAGAAGGAGAUUAAUAAACGUAGCUGUACAUAUGCUACAUAAAUUUCCAUCUAAUAUUCUCACCUUGGUCCCGGUCUGCAGUAUGUCGUCUUGCCCAUCCAGCCUGAACUGAUAGAGAAAGUUCCAUGUGGCACUUUAUUUGUGAGGAUAUAACAUGAGUCAACAACAAAUUUAUCAUUGUUAUUCAUGGCAAGAUAAUAGAUCAUUCAUAAAUAUAUAUUUUGUUGGAUGUUGAUUACUGGAAAGUAAUACCAAUAUGGGCUUACAAAUUUGGGCAUGCUUCUUUUCACCGACGACACCUAUUAGCAGAGGUAAAUCAUAAUAUUAUAGACAUAUGUUACUAAUAGAAAAUACUACUUUUCCUUUUAUAUUACUUAAAUUAGAACAAUCAAUUUCUUCCAUGUCCCGAAACUUCUCAUUGAGCCUCUCCAUUUAACUCAGCAAUUUUGGGUUAUGGUAAAAUCAUGGGUUUUCAACAAAAUAAAAACAAACAAGACCAAUAAGAAAGAAAACUUAAGAAUUCAAGCCUAUCAGACAAUCAUGCACCUCCGGUGGCAUGUCGACAAUCAGACAUACCAAAACCUUUAGUCCUAAUUUUUCCCCAAUACAAUGUGCGAAACAACAAAUAAUAACCUUGUGUGUGUGUGAAACAACAAAUAAUAACCUUCAUGCCAGCAAUGCAUAUUAAUAUUAGAAGAUCAAAAUGUGUUUCACUGUGUAACAUUUCCAUUGCAUGUACAUAACAUGCUAUGCAUCAAAUCCCCCUGCACAAGAUUCCUCUAUCAUGGCCACACUCGUAUCCAGUGGUGGUGGAGUAGCCUAGGACGUGAAGCAGGGAAAGGGGCACAACAUACCGGUGCGGCCGGCGACGGCGGAGACACAACGGACUGCUCGGCCUCCUCGUCCCCACAAUGCUUUAACUAUCUUGGAUAUCUUUCAAAAAGAAUGCCAAUGAGGGCGUCAGUUGCUACAAAUUCAUGACUUCAAAGAAACACAAAUAACCCAUUAGAUGGUUCAGUACAAAUCAUUUCUUCACUUGCAGUACCAUGUAAAACAUUGAAUAGGUAUGCAUCACUCAUCAUUUCAAAAAGACUUCGAACAAAAACAUUCAACACCUCUGACUCCACAAAGACUUAAGAAAUUAGGGUGCCUAAAUCUUUAUGCAGAACUGGGUACAUCUUACUUAUUAGUUAGCCAACCACCGUAUCCAAGUGGCCCAAUUACGUGAAUACAAUCAGUAUCAAUCAUAAGUAUGAAACAUGAAACUUUCUGAAAUGAUCAGUACUUAUUAGGUCUCAAACUAUACAUAUAGAAACUUGAGACUGCAGACAUGAACGGUCGACUCUGAAACUCCACUCAAAUCACCACAUUAUCUAAGCAUGCUCAGUUAGCAACAGUAAAACAAAUUACAGAAUCUGAAACCUCACACAUUAUUUAGAGAGUACCUUAUUUUCUGUUCUUGCUACACUGGAAUCAAUGUACACUCUGAAUGAAAAAUAACAAACACUUGAUUGAUAUGGUCAUCAUAUAUGAAAUAAGACAGUAUGUGACAAACUAUAUAAAGCCGUAGAUUUUGAUGUACUACUAAUAUUUGGUCAUCCAAACUCAUAUAAUAGUUCCUCACCUGCAAAUCCUCCAGUAGUUGUGCUGACAUAUGAAACAUCUUCUUGAUCUCCCUAAGCUGAAUUCUAUGAUAGCACAGAGCUGAACUCGAAAAAUAAAAUCACACCGUAGGACAUCUACAGGCUAUUUUUACAUGAAAUGAGACUCGAAAACACAUACAAAGGAAAAGGGGACACCUGUUUAAAUAAGCCAUUGAAAGCAGGCUACACAGAGCUCGACAUAUCGCCUUGCGAACCUAGCUCAAUAUCAGCAUUUCUUCGGGCCCAAUCCUCUUUG
rnacentral:lncRNA from 1 species